CCUACGGGAGGCAGCAGUGAGGAAUAUUGGUCAAUGGGCGGGAGCCUGAACCAGCCAAGUCGCGUGAGGGAAGACGGUCCUAUGGAUUGUAAACCUCGUUAGGCGGGGAGCAAUGCCGGGCACGCGUGCCCGGAGGGAGAGGACCCGCAGAAGAAGCAGCGGCUAACUCCGUGCCAGCAGCCGCGGUAAUACGGAGGAUGCGAGCGUUAUCCGGAUUUAGUGGGUUUAACGGGUGCGUAGGCGGAUGUUUAAGUCAGCGGUAAAAUGUCCGGGCUCAACCCGGGCCGGCCGUUGAAACUGGGGCUCUUGAGUGGGCGAGCCGUAUGCGGCAUGCGUGGUGUAGCGGU
rnacentral:rRNA from 1 species